rnacentral:rRNA from 1 species
GACGAACGCUGGCGGCGUGCUUAACACAUGCAAGUCGAACGGAAAGGCCUCUUUCGGGGGGUACUCGAGUGGCGAACGGGUGAGUAACACGUGAGUAACCUGCCCUUGACUUUGGGAUAACUUCAGGAAACUGGGGCUAAUACCGGAUAGGAGCUCCUGCUGCAUGGUGGGGGUUGGAAAGUUUCGGCGGUUGGGGAUGGACUCGCGGCUUAUCAGCUUGUUGGUGGGGUAGUGGCUUACCAAGGCUUUGACGGGUAGCCGGCCUGAGAGGGUGACCGGCCACAUUGGGACUGAGAUACGGCCCAGACUCCUACGGGAGGCAGCAGUGGGGAAUAUUGCACAAUGGGUGGACGCCUGAUGCAGCAACGCCGUGUGCGGGAUGACGGCCUUCGGGUUGUAAACCGCUUUCGCUCAUGACGAAGCUUUGUGUGACGGUAGUGGGUAAAGAAGCACCGGCUAACUACGUG